GUAAGGAAUAUUGGACAAUGCCCGCAAGGGUGAUCCAGCCAUGCCGCGUGCAGGAAGACGGCCCUAUGGGUUGUAAACUGCUUUUAUACCGGAGAAAACCUCUUCUCGUGAGAAGAGCUGAUAGUAUGGUAAGAAUAAGCAUCGGCUAACUUCGUGCCAGCAGCCGCGGUAAGACGAAGGAUGCAAGCGUUAUCCGGAUUCAUUGGGUUUAAAGGGAGCGUAGGCGGCCUUAUAAGUCAGUGGUGAAAUCUUUGGGCUUAACCCAAAAAUUGCCAUUGAUACUGUAGGGCUUGAGUACAGUUGCCGUUGGCGGAAUAUGACAUGUAGUGGUGAAAUACAUAGAGAUGUCAUAGAACACCGAUUGCGAAGGCAGCUAACGAAACUGUAACUGACGCUGAGGCUCGAAAGUGCGGGGAUCAAACAGGAUUAGAUACCCUUGUAGUCC
rnacentral:rRNA from 1 species